GCGGCCGUCGUUGGGGAGUAGCCGAUUUCUGUAAAAGGAAAUGUACGCGUCAACAUACUCGUUGAAAAACGUGGCGCGUACGGACUGACAGCCCGUCAGUC
rnacentral:sRNA from 2 species